rnacentral:lncRNA from 1 species
AAAAAAUUACAACAAAUGAGGGGGAAACCUCUGCUAGGUUUUCAACCCCCCAGACCUCCAUGCCGCCGCCGCCCGUCUAGGCCGAUCCACGACCUCAGUCGCCCCAGUCUCUGAUCACGACGGAGAUGGCCACCGACGAAGAAAAUGGUAAAAUCCCUCCUCUUUUCUUUAUAUUUUAAACAAAAGUUAAAAAAACAAAACAAAUAAUCUUAAAAAAACACCUAACAGAAUAGGAAGAAAAAAACCUUUAUUCAAAAAUUUUCUCUUUUAAUUUCUUUUCUCUCUGAUUUUUUACAUCCCCCCACCUUUUACACUAUCAUCAUUCGGUUUUAUAGCCGAAUCUUAGAGAAAUAAUAAUAAAAUAAAAUAAAUCCCUUGAUUCCUGCUAUAUUUUUUGCUAUCUAUUGCUUGUGAUCUGUUGCAGAUUCGUAGGAGACGUGUACGGCGUGUGCGAUGUUUACGGAGGUGCGCAAGGGAGAGCCAACGUGCAGAACGUUGCAUCGUUGGGGCGAGGCGGCUGCAGCGCUAAGCAUACUGCUACUAGGGUUUCUGAAGGCUUGUUUUGGGUCACAUUGUAUUUGGGCUAGGGUCUAGUAUUUGGGCUGAUGUAAUUUGGGUUUUGUAAAAACUUGGACUGCUUACAUUUUUUUGUUUUGUAAGGGCCCGGGUGAAUUGGGCUUAUUACACAAAUAGUAAUAAAAAUAAUAAUACUGCAAAAAACUGAAGUGAAAC